rnacentral:rRNA from 1 species
GAAUUUUGGACAAUGGGCGAAAGCCUGAUCCAGCAAUGCCGCGUGCAGGAUGAAGGCCUUCGGGUUGUAAACUGCUUUUGUACGGAACGAAAAGCUUUGGGUUAAUACCCUGGAGUCAUGACGGUACCGUAAGAAUAAGCACCGGCUCACUACGUGCCAGCAGCCGGGGUAAUACCAAGGGUGGAAGCGUUAACAGGAAUUACUGGGCGGAAAGGGGGCGCAGGCGGGUUUGUAAGAAAGAGGGUGAAUCCCCGGGGUCAACCUGGGAAAUGCCUUUGGGAAUGCAAGGCUAGAGUAAGGCAGAGGGGGGUGGAAUUCCGCGUGUAGCAGUGAAAUGCGUAGAUAUGCGGAGGAACACCGAUGGCGAAGGCAACCCCCUGGGCCUGUACUGACGCUCAUGCACGAAAGCGUGGGGAGCAAACAGG